rnacentral:rRNA from 1 species
GACGAACGCUGGCGGCGUGCUUAACACAUGCAAGUCGAACGGUGAAGGGGUCUGCUUUUGUGGGCCCUGGAUGAGUGGCGAACGGGUGAGUAACACGUGAGUAACCUGCCCCCUUCUUCUGGAUAACCGCAUGAAAGUGUGGCUAAUACGGGAUAUUCUGGGUCUGUCGCAUGAUGGGUCUGGGAAAGAUUGCGCCUUUGGGUGUUUUUGGUGGGGGAUGGGCUCGCGGCCUAUCAGCUUGUUGGUGGGGUGAUGGCCUACCAAGGCGGUGACGGGUAGCCGGCCUGAGAGGGUGGACGGUCACACUGGGACUGAGAUACGGCCCAGACUCCUACGGGAGGCAGCAGUGGGGAAUAUUGCGCAAUGGGCGCAAGCCUGAUGCAGCGACGCCGCGUGAGGGAUGGAGGCCUUCGGGUUGUAAACCUCUUUCGCCAGUGAAGCAGGCCUGCUCCUUGUGGGUGGGUUGACGGUAGCUGGAUAAGAAGCGCCGGCUAACUACGUG